GCUGAUCCCAAAGGGAGCUGGAGGAGGCAGAUGGGGAGGUGCUUUGUUAGUGAAUAACUGCAUGUUCCGUGUGUGUGUGUGUGUGUGUGUGUGUGUGUGUGUGUGUGUGUGUGUGUGUGUGUGUGUGUGUGUGUGUGUGUGUGUGUGUGUGUGAAUCUGCGCGCUUUCAGAACUGUGAAAGCUAAACAGGACUUUCUAGUCCCAGUGAAUGACUGGUUUACUGUCAUCUACAACAGCAGACGCCGUUCAUCACUUUCCAUUCCUUGCUGACGGUCAGUGGCAGCCAAACGCGGUGGGGCCAGGCUCUCCUGCUUUCACUGUUGCUGUGUGCAGCAGUGUUUUUCUCAGUCUUCCUUUUUUUUCAGGGGGCGAGCAGGGGAGCUUGCAGCUGCCACUCCACUGCACAUAUGGGCAGAGCGGAUCAAUAUUUGCAGAGGGGGGAAAGAAAAGCCUGGAAUAUCAGCGGAGGGAAAGUGAAGGAUGAAGACCUUCCACUAUAUGAAAUGCACUGCGUGGCUCAGCGCCCAUGGUUGAGGUUGAUGAUCAGAUGAUAUCACCCUGGCACCAACGGUCUGGGCGGUUCCUUUUCCCGUCUAAGGUUGCCAUGAGAGAUGGACAGCGGCCCCCCCCCGGGACCAAUGAAAAGGGUUGUCAUUAGAGGCACUUCCUGUAAAAAGUUACUCACAAAUAUCGGCCUUGUAAAACAGACGUGUGUGUGUGUGUGUAUGAACAUUUGCAUUUGUGUGAAAAGAAGAUGUGAAAGCAAGUUUGGUGAACAGGUGACACAUAUUAAUUCAAAUCCGUUAGUUUGACUAUUAAAUUAUGACAUAAAAUACAGAAAACAUGAAUACCUGGCUUUAACACUCGGAGAGUUCAUUGCAGCUUCUGUGCAAUAGUUUGCUGCAGCAGGUGAUGAGUCACAGUCUAAAUGAGGUUAUUCCAUCCAGGCGGACAUGCAGGACGACACUACGAGCCUCUCACUGUGUGGCCUGUGUGGACAACAGCUGAGACAUCAUACUCUGAAUGCAUGACAUCAUUUCCACUCAUUUAUUUUAUAUGCAUCAGUAAAGGAUGACUGGCUCUCCGUCUAAAUUAGGACGCUCGCUGCUCUUUUAACUGUCCCUCCUGUCAGUGUCUCCCAAAGCAGCAAUGUUAGAGACUUUCCUGUCUCUCUGUGUGUGUCUCAUCAUUUCAUUUCUAAAUAAACUAACGUGCUUUCUAUUGCA
rnacentral:lncRNA from 1 species